GAAACAGGCUCACCUAAAUUUCCACCAUACUGAAAAUUUGUGUAAAGAAUUGAAUUUUCUAGGCAAUGGGUCAAUAAUUUUACUGAUGAUUGUCUAAUGUCUAUAUGUGAGAAGGCACUUGUCAUUCAAGAACCAUUUACUAGUUCAGAAGAUAAAUUGUGUGACUGAAGUAAAUCAAGGUGAAUCAGCCUGAACCAAUACAUGCAGUGAUAUUAUCAGAUUAUUGUUGAUUACUUGCUCAAAUGCGAAGGUAACCACCUCUUUCUUCACCCCCAUGGGUUCUGUAAAGAAAUGACUUCCUGUUGAAGGACCAGCUUCUUCUUGUAGCCCACCUCCUCCUCCAAGCAGCUAAACGUACGUAAAGUGAAGGGAAAAGGAAACACAGCAGCAGGAGAAUUAACAUUACCAGACAGAGGAACAUUACAUUACGGAAUCCAUCUUGCAACUCUGGGUCCUUUUGCCCCGUCCAUGGAACUCCUCCCACAUUCAUGCCAAACACUCCAGUGAUUACAGACAGUGGAAGGAACACAAUUGAAAGGAAAGAAAGAUAAUACAGUUUCCUAUUUAUUUGCUCAGAUUGCCAGCUAUCCAGACUGGCCUGAAUUGCUGUGAUACGAUUUGCAAUAAACCCUGCAUUCUCUUUUAGCCUUCUCAGCUGUCCAAUUAACUCUUCUAGAGAAUUAAUGUCUUCAAUGGAAAACCAUCUUUUUGACGAGCAUUUUUCUUUUACUCGUGGAAAUACUUGCUCCCCAUAUGCAAUCACCUGCAGUAGACGUUGUAGAUUAAGAUGCAUUUUAGGGAAUCUUCUAUCGUCAAGCAUUUGUUUCUUCAAAGUAUAACCACCUUUGUCGAGUUCAAUCUCCACAGAAUCUAGCUCU
rnacentral:misc_RNA from 1 species